AGAGUUUGAUCCUGGCUCAGAUUGAACGCUGGCGGCAGGCCUAACACAUGCAAGUCGAGCGGUAGAGAGAGAGAGCGGCGGACGGGUGAGUAAAGCCUAGGAAUCUGCCUGGUAGUGGGGGAUAACGUUCGGAAACGGACGCUAAUACCGCAUACGUCCUACGGGAGAAAGCAGGGGACCUUCGGGCCUUGCGCUAUCAGAUGAGCCUAGGUCGGAUUAGCUAGUUGGUGAGGUAAUGGCUCACCAAGGCGACGAUCCGUAACUGGUCUGAGACCUGCAUCAGUCACACUGGGUACGACUCCUACGGGAGGCAGCAGUGGGGAAUAUUGGACAAUGGGCGAAAGCCUGAUCCAGCCAUGCCGCGUGUGUGAAGAAGGUCUUCGGAUUGUAAAGCACUUUAAGUUGGGAGGAAGGGCAUUAACCUAAUACGUUAGUGUUUUGACGUUACCGACAGAAUAAGCACCGGCUAACUCUGUGCCAGCAGCCGCGGUAAUACAGAGGGUGCAAGCGUUAAUCGGAAUUACUGGGCGUAAAGCGCGCGUAGGUGGUUUGUUAAGUUGGAUGUGAAAUCCCCGGGCUCAACCUGGGAACUGCAUUCAAAACUGACUGACUAGAGUAUGGUAGAGGGUGGUGGAAUUUCCUGUGUAGCGGUGAAAUGCGUAGAUAUAGGAAGGAACACCAGUGGCGAAGGCGACCACCUGGACUAAUACUGACACUGAGGUGCGAAAGCGUGGGGAGCAAACAGGAUUAGAUACCCUGGUAGUCCACGCCGUAAACGAUGUCAACUAGCCGUUGGGAGCCUUGAGCUCUUAGUGGCGCAGCUAACGCAUUAAGUUGACCGCCUGGGGAGUACGGCCGCAAGGUUAAAACUCAAAUGAAUUGACGGGGGCCCGCACAAGCGGUGGAGCAUGUGGUUUAAUUCGAAGCAACGCGAAGAACCUUACCAGGCCUUGACAUCCAAUGAACUUUCUAGAGAUAGAUUGGUGCCUUCGGGAACAUUGAGACAGGUGCUGCAUGGCUGUCGUCAGCUCGUGUCGUAUGUUGGGUUAAGUCCCGUAACGAAUGGUGGGCACUCUAAGGAGACUGCCGGUGACAAACCGGAGGAAUCAUCAUGGCCCUUACGGCCUGGGCUACACACGUGCUACAAUGGUCGGUACAGAGGGUUGCCAAGCCGCGAGGUGGAGCUAAUCCCACAAAACCGAUCGUAGUCCGGAUCGCAGUCUGCAACUCGACUGCGUGAAGUCGGAAUCGCUAGUAAUCGCGAAUCAGAAUGUCGCGGUGAAUACGUUCCCGGGCCUUGUACACACCGCCCGUCACACCAUGGGAGUGGGUUGCACCAGAAGUAGCUAGUCUAACCUUCGGGAGGACGGUUACCACGGUGUGAUUCAUGACUGGGGUGAAGUCGUAACAAGGUAGCCGUAGGGGAACCUGCGGCUGGAU
rnacentral:rRNA from 1 species